rnacentral:rRNA from 1 species
GACGAACGCUGGCGGCGUGCUUAACACAUGCAAGUCGAACGGAAAGGCCCUGCUUUUGUGGGGUGCUCGAGUGGCGAACGGGUGAGUAACACGUGAGUAACCUGCCCUUGACUUUGGGAUAACUUCAGGAAACUGGGGCUAAUACCGGAUAGGAGCUCCUGCUGCAUGGUGGGGGUUGGAAAGUUUCGGCGGUUGGGGAUGGACUCGCGGCUUAUCAGCUUGUUGGUGGGGUAGUGGCUUACCAAGGCUUUGACGGGUAGCCGGCCUGGGAGGGUGACCGGCCACAUUGGGACUGGGAUACGGCCCGGACUCCUACGGGGGGAAGCGGUGGGGAAUAUUGCACAAUGGGCGGAGGCCUGAUGCAGCAACGCCGCGUGCGGGAGGACGGCCUUCGGGUUGUAAACGGCUUUCGCCUGUGACGAAGCGUGAGUGACGGUAAUGGGUAAAGAAGCACCGGCUAACUACGU